AUUUGAGAUGUCUACGGAUUUGGGGCAACUUUGGAUCCGUGGAUGAGCCAUAGAGGGUGAAAGUCCCUUAAUGCGCAGGUAUUGAUGCUACGAAUCAGAGCAGUGAUGUCUGGUAAAACAGGCGUUGCGGUUUGUUAGAGUCGGGUUGCUUGAGAGUGCAACCUAAAGAGCGAGGUAAACUGCUCGUAAGGCUAUGUAAAUACGGCUACGACACCGAUAGCAAACAAGUACCGUGAGGGAAAGUUGCAAAGUACUUUGAAGAGAGAGUUAAACAGGGCGUGAAACCGCUAGCUGGUAAACGAGUGGAGCCACGAAGUCGUUUCGUAGAAUACGGGGCGCAAAUUCAGCUGAGGUCCCUAAAAAGGCUUUAGCGUAUUUUUGCUUGUCUCGCUAUCGUAAGCGUACACUGCAACCAAUUAGACGGCCAAUCGUGGAAACAGUUUGCAUGUCAACAGGGAAACUUGUUGCUUGUGAGCGCCAAAAUUUGUGUAUUUACUGUAGGUAGCCUGGUUAGAAUCUUGUAUUUUAUCUGGGUGUAUGACAUUCGUAAAUGCGUGAACUACGAUUGGGUACUGAUUGGCAAAAUGAAAAUUGAAUCGCAAGAUUCGUUUAUUCAUAGAAAGCGGCUAGCAUCGUAUUCAGGUACAAUUGCUCGCUGCUAGUAUAAGCUUGGUAUUUUUGAAUUCAGGCACGUAUAUUGUCAGUGGGCUUGCUCGUUGAUAUAUGCGCUGUUUCCUGUCUAAUCGGGUAUUAACUUUGCUGGCGGUUUGUUGUAAUUGCUACGAUAGCAUUGGAUGCGAUAGUUAGUUUGCAAGUAUUAGCAGUGAGUAGGUCGGCUUUCCACACGACCCGUCUUGAAACACGGACCAAGGAGUCUAGUUAAGUAUCGAGUCGAUCGGUCUUGAUUAGGCCAGACAUCGAAAGUAGUCGCAAGAUUACGUUUCGGAAUACAAUAAAUGACGGCAAAGUGAAAUCAAAUUAUAUGUGAUCUGAGGUCUAUAAAAAUGGCCUACAGCGCAACAUAUGCCCACUCGUAUAGUUAUACGCGCAAGUGUUAACUGGGUGGAGCAAAGAGAUACUUGACUGGUACCCGAAAGAUGGUGAACUAUUCCUGGCCAGAUUGAAGCCAGAGGAAACUCUGGUGGAGGAUUGUAGCGAUUCUGACGUGCAAAUCGAUCGUCAGAGCUGGGUAUAGGGGCGAAAGACUAAUCGAACCAUCUAGUAGCUGGUUCCCUCCGAAGUUUCCCUCAGGAUAGCAAGCUCUCGCAGAAAUGUGAAUCAGUUUCAUCUGGUAAAGCGAAUGAUUAGAGGCCUUGGGAGCGAAACGCUCUCAACCUAUUCUCAAACUUUAAAUGGGUGAGAUGUACGACGUACUUAACUGACGCCGUAUUCAUACAGAAUGUAUUGAGAGCUUAGUGGGCCAUUUUUGGUAAGCAGAACUGGCGAUGCGGGAUGAACCGAAAGUGAAGUUAAGGUUGCCGAUAAUGGUGCUAACAAUUUGUGCACUAGCUACACUCAUGAGAUCCCAUGAAAGGUGUAAGUUGCUAAAGACAGCAAGGACGUGGCCAUGGAAGUCGGAAACAUCUAAGGAGUGUGUAACAACUCACUUGCCGAAGCAACUUGCCCUGAAAAUGGAAGCAGCUCGAGUGUUGAACCUAUACUUCACCGUUGAAUUAUCGUUCGUAAUAUGCGAUUAGUUAUGAUUCAACGUGUAGGAGGGUUGUGUUGGUAGCGUUGAAGGCUAUGAGGGAGUGAUCCUGGCUGGAGCUGCCAAUAGUACAGAUCUUGGUGGUAGUAGCAAAUACUCAAGUGAGACCCUUGAGGGCCAAUGUGGAGAAGGGUUCCAUGCUAACAGCAAUUGGACAUGGGUCAGUCGGUCCUAAGAGAAUGGCGAAAGCUAUUUCUGAAUCAAAGGCAGUGUAAUCAAAACACAAUAAAAAACCAUUCGCCUAAUUGUGUAUUUUUAUUCAAUUGGUUAUCAAAUUGUGCUGUAUUCUGUAUGCAUGUCUAGCACUUCCGUAUUUAUACGUUUUUCGUGUUUAUGCUGGAUGCGUUUGAACGCAUGCAUGCCAGACCUAAAAUACAUGCAAAAAACAAUAUAACCGAACAUCAAAAAUAUCAAUGCACAAUAUGACAAAUGAGUGUAUAAUGAACACUGUAUGACUCGAAAGGGAAUUAGGUUAAUAUUCCUAAACCAAGAUGGGGAGAUUGCUGGUUGUGCGGUUAUUCACUUAGCUGUGCAACUAGCAUUGGCGGUAACGCAAACAAGCACGAUGACACCGGCGGCAGCCCUGGGAAGAGUUGUCUUUUCUUUGUAAGCUUACUGAGUUUUUAACGAGACCUUGGAAUCGAAUCAUUCGAAGAUAAGGUCGUAGUAAGCGUAAAGCAGUGCGGUUCUAGUACUGUCCAGAGAGCUGUCUUCGGUCCUUGAAAAAUCGUGUACGCGGAGUAUAUAUUUGUGGUGCAAAUCAUGGAUAUAUGCGUUGAUUCUCUCACUUGG
rnacentral:rRNA from 1 species